GCUGCUUCGUUCGGCUACAGGACAGGCCAAUAACGAUUUUACUCCGUCGGAACAAGCUGCUUCGAGUUUGGACGUGCGCAAGCUUCACGAAAUCUUUGGAACUACGGAACGGGCAUUUGUCGCCGAAGGUGCGUCGACAGCGAAGGCACUAGGAUCAUCGACAUCAACCCUGGGGGCGGUUUCUUCGAGCCAGGAAGCUAUCUGUGCCGUCAGUGGGCUUGGCAGCACCGGAGAGACAAGAAUGUUAAACCCCGUCUUGCUGUUUGCACAGGGGGACCGAGCUGCGACAACGUCGACGAUGUCCCGGAGCUGAAUUCUGGCCCAACGAUGCGCUCGGAGCCCGCUGUCACUUCGCAUUCUCAAAUGGUUCGUCUGGCGGGGCGAGGAGGCGAUCAUCGUUGAUGUAACUUGCCCGUUCGAGAACCGGCCUGCAGCCCUGAACGCGGCCCGCCAAGGGAAGGAGGAGAAGUAGGAACCAGUCCGGAAGUACCUGCUACGCAAGUUCCAGAAAGUCACCGUGGAGGCCAUCAUCAUCGGGGCACUUGGAUCGUGGCAUCCCAAGAACGACCGGGUUAUGCGACGCUUCUGCAGCCGCAAAUAUCUGCGGCUGUUCAAAAAACUUGCUGUGAGCGAGACCGUCGCUGCAUCACGAAACAUCUAUGCAGCGCAUAUCGCAGCCAAUAUAGAACAUCACUAGGUAAGCACACACUACACUAACACACACUUCUAUGCCAGCACAAAAACGUCCAAAAUACCCAACAAACACUAAACGAGCAUUAGUAAGACUCCAAAGCCGGUCUACUGCGAGCUGUUAGGGCGUCCCUCAUCGGAGCCGACCCAGAUGACUGGGAUAUGUUAAAAGAGCAGUGGCGUCACCACUGCAGUGCGUCGGGCCGAGCCCUCCGGGCUCGCGUCUCCGGGGAAAUGACGGCGUUGGUGACGAAGUUGCGCAUCGCACGGCGCAGCCCGCUUCCGACGCCAGUUAUGUGCGCGUGGAGGAAUGAGCUUGUCGAGCGCUACCAGCGGCUAGUGCGCGCUUCCUCGCUGUCGGCUGCCGCUUGGCGCUGUAGGCGUGCGCCGUGU